rnacentral:rRNA from 1 species
AACGUAGGUUCCGAGCGUUGUUCGGAAUUACUGGGCGUAAAGGGCGCGUAGGCGGCUUAUCAAGUCAGGCGUGAAAUUCCCGGGCUCAACCUGGGGGCUGCGCUUGAUACUGAUUGGCUUGAAUGCGGGAGAGGAUAGUGGAAUUCCCAGUGUAGAGGUGAAAUUCGUAGAUAUUGGGAAGAACACCGGUGGCGAAGGCGGCUAUCUGGCCCGUAAUUGACGCUGAGGCGCGAAAGCGUGGGGAGCAAACAGG